CGGGUGGUAAUGCCGGAUGCUCCGACAUGACGCAUGUCGUGUCGGGAAAGAUUCAUCGGUAUGGGAUGGGGUCGCGUCCUAUCAGCUUGAUGGCGGGGUAACGGCCCACCAUGGCUUCGACGGGUAGCCGGCCUGAGAGGGCGACCGGCCACAUUGGGACUGAGAUACGGCCCAGACUCCUACGGGAGGCAGCAGUGGGGAAUAUUGCACAAUGGGCGCAAGCCUGAUGCAGCGACGCCGCGUGCGGGAUGACGGCCUUCGGGUUGUAAACCGCUUUUGACUGGGAGCAAGCCCUUCGGGGUGAGUGUACCUUUCGAAUAAGCACCGGCUAACUACGUGCCAGCAGCCGCGGUAAUACGUAGGGUGCAAGCGUUAUCCGGAAUUAUUGGGCGUAAAGGGCUCGUAGGCGGUUCGUCGCGUCCGGUGUGAAAGUCCAUCGCUUAACGGUGGAUCCGCGCCGGGUACGGGCGGGCUUGAGUGCGGUAGGGGAGACUGGAAUUCCCGGUGUAACGGUGGAAUGUGUAGAUAUCGGAAAAGAACACCA
rnacentral:rRNA from 1 species